GUGGCGCACGGGUGAGUAACGCGUGGGGACCUACCUCUUAGUGGGGGAUAACGGUUGGAAACGACCGCUAAUACCGCAUACGCCCUUCGGGGGAAAGAUUUAUCGCUAAGAGAUGGACCCGCGUUGGAUUAGAUAGUUGGUGAGGUAACGGCUCACCAAGUCAGCGAUCCAUAGCUGGUUUGAGAGGAUGAUCAGCCACACUGGGACUGAGACACGGCCCAGACUCCUACGGGAGGCAGCACUGGGGAAUAUUGGACAAUGGGGGCAACCCUGAUCCAGCCAUGCCGCGUGAGUGAAGAAGGCCUUCGGGUUGUAAAGCUCUUUCAGAUGCGAAGAUGAUGACGGUAACAUC
rnacentral:rRNA from 1 species